GGCAGGAACCCCCCAUUUUAGUGCUGCAACAGGGUUGGUGCCACUCCAAAAUGAGCCUCAGGCAACUCGUUCCGAUCAUGUCACUCCAAAUUUUUUCAAGGAGAUCUUGCGCCUACUGCACGUCAUCCAAUUCAAGCUGAAUGAACAUGCACUGAAGUUAGAGUUGCUAACCACCCUGGUCUCGAACAGCAACGACGAGAACAUUCUUGUCUCAGGCGAAUCCUUUGGGCCCUUCAAUGAACUCGCAACGUUUUUAGACUUUGAUGCUUCUGUGGCAAGCUCCGAAGAGAAAAAAAAACGGCUGAUGGUCUCCUGGGGCAAGUACGGGGGUUCUUCUGGACCUGACAUGACAAGGAGAAUUCUCGUUGGACUGCUUUCCGACGACAUCGCUGUUCAGUACAGCUUCAAGGGGGGUAAAGGCAAGCGCAAGUUUAACGAACUCGCCUGCUGGGAAAUCAUUAAAGAAACUGUUAAAGCGCAGGGUAAGCUUUCUGGUGCCACGGAUUAUGAUGUCGAACAAACAGUUAAGUCAUGGUUGGCCCAUUCAAAGGAGAGACUGGACAAAGCAGCCAAAAAAGUUGGUAUGUCUGUGCCACCAAGCCCGACUGCCUAGCAUGUCUUCCGCAAGCAGGUAGCUCCAGAGAUUUUGGUGUUACUUCUUCGCCAUUAGCCCAAUACAGGAGCAGGUAGCUCCAGAGAUUUUGGUGUUACUUCUUUGCCAUUAGCCCAAUACAGGAGCAGGUAGCUCCAGAGAUUUUGGUGUUACUUCUUCGCCAUUAGCCCAAUACAGGAGCAGGUAGCUCCAGAGAUUUUGGUGUUACUUCUUCGCCAUUAGCCCAAUACAGGAGCAGGUAGCUCCAGAGAUUUUGGUGUUACUUCUUUGCCAUUAGCCCAAUACAGGAGCAGGUAGCUCCAGAGAUUUUGGUGUUACUUCUUCGCCAUUAGCCCAAUACAGGAGCAGGUAGCUCCAGAGAUUUUGGUGUUACUUCUUCGCCAUUAGCCCAAUACAGGAGCAGGUAGCUCCAGAGAUUUUGGUGUUACUUCUUCGCCAUUAGCCCAAUACAGGAGCAGGUAGCUCCAGAGAUUUUGGUGUUACUUCUUCGCCAUUAGCCCAAUACAGGAGCAGGUAGCUCCAGAGCGACAUCUUUGAAGAAUUUUUACGCCUAAGACGUUGUUACUAGUCAUACGUUUAAUAAAGCAACUUGGGAAAGAUC